GUGCCUAACACAUGCAAGUCGAACGAGAAAGUGGAGCAAUCCAUGAGUAAAGUGGCGACCGGGUGAGUAACACGUGACUACCUACCCUCGAGUGGGGGAUAACUCCGGGAAACCGGAGCUAAUACCGCAUAACAUCGAGAGAUCAAAGCAGUAAUGCGCUUGAGGAGGGGGUCGCGGCUGAUUAGCUAGUUGGCGGGGUAACGGCCCACCAAGGCGAUGAUCGGUAGCCGGCCUGAGAGGGCGCACGGCCACACUGGAACUGAAACACGGUCCAG
rnacentral:rRNA from 1 species